rnacentral:sRNA from 1 species
UAGGCUCAUCUAUGAUGGUUCAAAUAACAAAUACCUAUGGCGGGAAUACCUAUUAUCUAAUAUAAAGUUCUAGGUGAUCAAUCUAAAACUAGCUAUAAGAAUAAUCAAGAUGAAGAACUCUAAGAAUAAUCCUAAGGGGUUUUCGAUCUACUAAUCCAUCUAAAUCCCUAUUGAGACUCCCUAGACCCAACAAGGUGAUUACUCGGACAUGACAAUAGAAACACAAAUCAUAAUAUGAAUAGUUUUCAUUGAUGAAUU